rnacentral:rRNA from 1 species
GAUUUCUGGCUUGAUGUGCCUGGCCCGCCACGGUUACGUGUGUGAGUGCCGGGUCACUAUCUGCCAUCCUUCGUUACUAUCUGUCACUGCCCUUUAUUGGGUGGCUGAUAUAGAUGGUACGAUCCUUUACUUUGAAAAAAUUAGAGUGUUUCAAGCAGGCAGUGAGGCUAUGAAUACAUUAGCAUGGAAUAAUACGAUAGGACUUUGGUCUUAUUUUGUUGGUUUUGCGAGACUGAAGUAAUGAUUGAUAGGGAUAGUUGGGGGUGCUAGUAUUCAGUGGCCAGAGGUGAAAUUCUUGGAUUCACUGAAGACUAACUUAUGCGAAAGCAUU